UAAUCACAAUCUGAUUCACAAAGAGCUGCUAUUUUGUUCUCAUGGCUUUUCUCUGCAUGUAGUUUCAGGAGAGAUCAACAAUGUCUCAUUCUAUUUUCUCUCUAGUUCUCAGUUGGACUAACACCUCAAUGCACACAACUCCGCAAUACAAAAAUCUCUGCAAGCACUGCUGUGGAACAGAUGGGUUGGCAUGCCCAAAAGCCCAGAGAACCUGCAUUUUGGGUGGUAUAAAAAUGUAACACAACAACAACAACCACAUCAGAGACAAUACAGAGCCCUGAGGGACACCAUGCCGAAGUUCAGUUUUUGAAGAAAAACAUUCCCCAAGCGCCACCAUCUGGAAUCUGCCUGAGAGGCUUUCAAGACCAAGACAAUCCAUCAUUUCAAGCAAGAGCAUCACUGUAUCUGUUGCCUUCCAUUAAACAGGUCUUAUAACUCUGU